rnacentral:rRNA from 1 species
UGGGGAAUAUUGGACAAUGGGCGCAAGCCUGAUCCAGCAAUGCCGCGUGGGUGAAGACGGCCUGCGGGUUGUAAAGCCCUUUAGGUGGGGAAGAACGGUGUCGGGUGAAUAGCCAGGCAUUAUGACAUUACCCACGGAAUAAGCACCGGCUAACUCCGUGCCAGCAGCCGCGGUAAUACGGAGGGUGCGAGCGUUAAUCGGAAUGACUGGGCGUAAAGCGUGCGUAGGUGGUAGCGUUAGUCGGCCGUGA